ensembl:lncRNA
GGGGAGCCGGAGGAGGAGACUCGACCAAGACAAAGGCCCAUUGAGAAGUUCCCCCGUGCAGGGAUCCUUGUGGCUGACAGACAGGGGGAGACGUGGACUCCACCUCUCAGCCAGAACUCAUUUCUGCCAGUGGACACAUCACAGAAAACCAGUCAGCAGAGAAGGAAUAUCCAAUGAUAGAAACGAUUGAACCGGAUCUCUUUUCUUGGACGGACGGUUUUCCUGAUCCACAAUCGUCUGCCGCAGACCCUCAAAUCCAUCCCCGCCUCCACCGACCACACCUCCAGCUUCGUCUCCUAAGAAAACGAUGUCUCCGGAGUACGAAGUCAACGAAAAGCAGCCUGGAGCGAAUCAAGCACACAUCUCAACCGCCAAGUCCCUGAUCUCCCAUUGUGAAUGAUUCCGAGCCGUCCUCCGCGCUACAGGGCAAGAUGGCGAGGAACACCCAGCGUUCCAAAGUGGAGGUGCCACGCACAGACCUCCUUGGGGACAUCUGUCUGCCAGGCAGCUAAGCCCCCGAGCCGAGAUCCUUCACACCCUUCAGAGCUCGUAUUCGUCCCGCCCGCGCAGGUCAUCCAUAAUAUCCAAAUGUGUUUGCUUAGGGAGAACUGUGACUUUUGCCUGUUUUCCCUCAUUAGUCAAAAGGCUGCGGCGGGAUAGGCCUCCCAUUCAGAGCGAGACCCAAACCAGAGGUCGCGCUCAUGUCUGCUCAUUUCUGCUUUUAACAGGUUGGACAUCUCAGAGGCACGGGUUCAUUUUGUUUUCACUACAGGGGUAUUGACCAGUAAUGGCACCCUAGGGAGGACUGGACUAAUAUGUAAGAGCUUUCAGCCUCAGCAGAUAUCUGGGACAAAGAUUUGGGUUGUCUAAUGUUGCAUUAUUAUUCGUUAUGAAACAGGAUGAGAUGAAAACAAAUUUGAAAUGUGGCUUGAAAAUAGCGUUUCUCCUUUGAAUGCAAACGUUUUUAUGGUAUUGAAUAUAAUCCAAAAUCUGUUGUGCAGAUGCUUCCCCUUCCCUUCUCUCUCUCUGCCAUCAGAAACCUCUGUCCUUCCCUUGAACAGAAGAGCACAUCCAUAAAUCACCUCCCAUCCAAAUAAUCUCAUAAACCUUUUUACAGUGUAAUUCAUGGCCAUCACCAUUCUGUGUUUAACAUUUGUGUUUAUUGACAAAUGAAGAUAGGUUUAAAUAAUUCAGACCAAACAUUAGCUGUGAGCAGGGAGAUUAAUAAUUGAUGGGGUGUGUGAAGGGCCGGGGCACUCUGGGAAUAGAUAAUAUUAGCUUAAUGCAUGGCUGUGUGAACAGGGGAAGUGUAAUGGACCCACCGCCUUUAACUGAUGAUGGUUAUUGUGGCCUGAAAGUUGUUACAAAAGGGAGAAAAGGCGCGCAAAGGGGGGAGGGGUUGGAGUAUGGUCAUAGAUUUGGCUCAUAGAAGCUGACAGUGCAAAUUGUGGUUUUAAUAGCAGGAGGUUUACACAUUCUACAGAGAGGCCCUAAUGGCCAUUCCUUUGCUUAGCGUAAAGGGAGAAAAAUGGCCCUGUGCUAUUAAAAUGAAACUUGAGAAGGUCCUCGCUCUUAGUUUGGUGUUUUCCUUUUUCCCCAGUCGAACUCUGUCUCUCCAUCACUCAUUUGGAUCCCCUCCUGUCCAUUUCCUGCUCGGGGUCUCACUUAAGUCUGCCCACACACCCUCAAAAAUACAGCGGCUCACAAAGUGAGAGCAAUGACCCCGUGUGUGACAGGCAGCCUCAUUUCACACGGAAAACUGAGGACAUGACCCGGUCACUAACAAAGUCUGAGGCUGUGCGGCAGAUAAUAUUUUGAGAACAAUCUCUGCUUAACAUUAAUUAUGGAUAAACGAAGACUAUGCAACCUGAAUUGGAAACAUUCUCUGACCAUCUGAGACCGCACUAUCGUCCCCCAGAGAAGCGCACGAUAUUGUACAACACGUAGAACAAAGCCGUGUUAUUGAGGCAUCAUUAUUGUACACAGUAGCACAACCCAGCAAUGUUAGAUAUUAUCCAUAUGCUUAUGUUAAUGGCUGCUCAGUGCCUGCAGGUCAGCCUGCAACAAAAGGGCCUCAUUUACUCUCCAAGGGAUACUAUCUGUGUUGUGCCAGGAUAGUAAAAAAGAUGCAGAGGGGUAAUGUGUAUCAAAGGCAGAGGAGGACCCCCUUCAUUCCAUAUUGCUUUCACAGCAGCAUAUUAGCAUCUAAACAAAGGAAGUAGAAACCCCUGCAGCGCAGCACUGUUUCAAGUGGUCACUCACAGCCUUUUUUUUGUUUCUCCAUCCGACACAUUUUACGCUGAGUAGCAGAACUGAACACACUUCUCCCCACUUCAUCGUCGGAUAGCAUGUGUCUUCAGCACAAAAGUGUUGAAGUUGCUGCUUCUUCUCUUUUCGUUCCCUCCCGCUCUCUCUUGUUUGACUUCAUCACAGAACUACUAUGACAGCUGUCAUCACUCCUCAGCAGGCCUCAGAUCUGCAUUUCAAGGUUUGCAGGUUCACCGGUUCACAAGGCUCUGCCGGGGCAGACAAUACUGGUAGUGUGUGUGAUCCCCAUGCUUCUGAUGCGUCCCUCUCAUAAACACAUACGGGCAUCGCACCACCAUGACAUGUGACAGUGUAGCGUCUUAGCUACUUUUACCAACUACUUGGCUACUUGUGGUACUGUUGGUACUCGUAGUAAAGCUAUGCACAUUGCGAUACGAUUUGUUGAUGACAUAUUUAUGUCGUAAUGGAGAAGGAAUACAGUUCACGAUAUGGCUACUAUGGAGCCCACCCCCGUUUUAAAGGCUUUGGGCUGUGCAGAGAAAUGCUGAAAGGAGCUGUAAGCCAGGACCAAAGAGUGAGUGUCUACACCGGAUUGAGAGGGAUUGUUUGUUGGAGUUUCAUGGACAAUAAAAAAGUUAUUAAUAUUGGUGCAGCAGAACUGAUCAUAUUGUCUCUUUCAUUUAUUGUAUUCUUCAUCCUUGUCAAAAGCUUUGCCCACAGGCAGUUCAGCAGUAUGUAAUAUAGCCUUAAGACAGGUAGAGGAGUGGUUAGCUCAAACCUGUAGAGGUCAGCCCUAACUCACGCCGACUCAGGCGACAUCAUUAGCGGCAGAUUUCCCUCUGGAGCCAUAACAGUGUGUUCUUUGUUCACACAUGUAUGCAGUAGUUCUCACUAAUAAACUUUAAUCUCUAACAUUGGUGGAUUUCCUAUAUUUUUCCUUUAAACCG